rnacentral:rRNA from 1 species
UACGGAGGGUGCAAGCGUUAUCCGGAUUUACUGGGUUUAAAGGGUGCGCAGGCGGCUAUGUAAGUCAGUGGUGAAAUCUCUAGGCUUAACCUGGAAAUUGCCGUUGAUACUAUAUAUCUUGAAUGCUGUGGAGGUAAGCGGAAUAUGUCAUGUAGCGGUGAAAUGCUUAGAUAUGACAUAGAACACCUAUUGCGAAGGCAGCGUACUGCGCAGAUAUUGACGCUCAGGCACGAAAGCGUGGGGAGCAAACAGG